rnacentral:rRNA from 1 species
UAGUCAUGUAGGGAAUCUUCCACAAUGGGCGAAAGCCUGAUGGAGCAACGCCGCGUGUGUGAUGAAGGCUUUCGGGUCGUAAAGCACUGUUGUAUGGGAAGAACAGAUAGGAUAGGGAAUGAUUUUAGUUUGACGGUACCAUACCAGAAAGGGACGGCUAAAUACGUGCCAGCAGCCGCGGUAAUACGAAAGUCCCAAGCGUUAUCCGGAAUUAUUGGGCGUAAAGCGAGCGCAGACGGUUUAUUAAGUCUGAUGUGAAAGCCCGGAGCUCAACUCCGGAAUGUGCAUUGGAAACUGGUUAACUUGAGUGCAGUAGA